UAUUCAUCUUCUUCUUCAUCAAGCUCUGAUUCUUCCAGCAGUUCUUCUGAUUCUGAAGAUGAGGAUAAGAAACAAGGAAAACGGAGAAAGAAAAAGAAGAACCGUUCACAUAAAUCUUCUGAAAGCUCCAUGUCAGAAACUGAAUCAGACAGUAAGGAUAGUUUAAAAAAGAAAAAGAAGUCAAAAGAUGGAACUGAGAAAGAAAAGGAUAUUAAAGGACUCAGCAAAAAGAGAAAGAUGUAUUCUGAAGAUAAACCUUUAUCAUCUGAGUCCUUGUCAGAAUCAGAGUAUAUUGAGGAGGUGCGAGCAAAAAAGAAGAAAAGCAGUGAAGAACGAGAAAAAGCAACAGCAAGUAUCUCUUAACGUUUUUACAGACAAUAGAAUAGGUGUUUUGGUUUAAUAUAAAAUGAGUCAUGGUAAAGCUUGAUUGGAUUUACUGGGACCAAAUAAGUAUUUGUUGGGAAAGGUGUGGUGUGUUCAGCAGCUUCACUUAAUGGGUAGGAGAAAGUCAAAAUGGUUCAGGAAAAAUAAAAAAUACCCUGGUAGCAAGCAUGUCCUGUUUCCAUUUCAGUAUUUUACUGUUAGAAAUAUAAGCUCAGGGCUGGGCGCUGUGUCUCACGCCUGUAAUCCCAGCACUUUGAGAGGCUGAGGCAGGUGGAUCAUGAGGUCAGGAGCUCGAGACCAUCCUGGCUAACACGGUGAAACCCCGUCUCUACUAAAAAUACAAAAAAUUAGCCGGGCAUGGUGGCGGGCACCUAUAGUCCCAGCUACUCGGGAGGCUGAGGCAGGAGAAUGGCGUGAACCCGGGAGGCAGAGCUUGCAGUGAGCUGAGAUCACGCCACUGCACUCCAGCC
rnacentral:lncRNA from 1 species